rnacentral:rRNA from 1 species
CCUACGGGUGGCAGCAGUCGAGAAUCAUUCACAAUGGGGGAAACCCUGAUGGGGCGACGCCGCGUGGGGGAAUGAAGGUCUGCGGAUGGUAAACCCCUGUCAUGUGGGAGCAAAUUAAAAAGAUAGUACCACAAGAGGAAGAGACGGCUAACUCUGUGCCAGCAGCCGCGGUAAUACAGAGGUCUCAAGCGUUGUUCGGAAUCACUGGGCGUAACGUGUGCGUAGGCUUUUUCGGAAGUCGUGGGUGAAAGGCGCGGGCUCACCCCGCGGACGGCACCUGCUACUGCGAGCCUAGAGUAAUGGCGCGGGAACCGGAAUUCUCGGUGUAGCCGU